CUGACCGACGCUUGGCAAGGUCGGUCCCGUCGGCCCCACUGGGAGGGUCACCGUUGAGACACCCAGCCCCAUCUCAUUGUUCAGCGCCGGGAGUUUCCUCCUCUGGCAGAGCCCCUGGAGCCGUGAGCUGAGCGGGAAGGGGACGGGCCGGGGCAGGACUUCGGGACGUCUACUUGCUGCCGCUCCUUCCCCUCUCCGGGAGCUCGGGUUUCCCGGGGUGUGUGCGGAUUCUCAAUAAAAAGGGAAAAGCACGAUCCAAGUUAAUUUUCCAGCGCCGAGAGGAAAUGCUGUUUCCUGCAUCGUACAAAACCGGUGCCAACAAGACGGACACAGGAGCCCAUUGUCCCGCUAACAAUGCGGCGAUGGGGGGAGGACGCCUGAGAAAACAGACCUCGGGCCGCCGAGAGCGUUUGAUCUUUCCCCCUAAGCGUGUGAGUGUGCAUGUGCGUGUGUGCGCGUGUGGUGCGAGGAUGCGCUGGCAGCGCGGGGGCGCAGCCCCUUCCCGUCCUGCCUCCGCUCCCCGGGCGCGCUCCUAAAGCUGGCAAGGGAGACCGAGCCCUCCAAAAGCGUCCAGAAGACCAAAAGAGAAAGGGAAGGGCAGGAAAACCAAGGGAAAAGGCUGCAAACGCAAAGAACGGAAAGGCAAAGGCGAGGGAGAGAGACACGCCUCAGCCCAGAGUCCCCCUAGGGGCUGGUUUCACGGCGUCCACCGGCCUCGGUCCUACGGGAGCCGCGCGUCUCCCGCCCCACGCCCGCCCGGGCGCCAGCCCCGCUCCUGCGGUGAGCCCGAGCGGACGGCGGCCCCCCGCGCCGGCGGUGCCCGGCUCCUGGCGGGACUCGGCGGGAGCGCUCUCCGCGCGCCCGCAGGGGGAGGGGGCCGCGGGGCAGCCUCUCCCCCCAGGGUUCCCUGGAGAGCCAGGCCGCUGCGCCGGGCUGACCCGCCGGUGACUCCGCACGGAGAGCGCCCGGGGCGCCCUGACCCCACGCCUGGCCGCGGUGGCGCCGCGCCGUGCGGGACCGGCCGGGUGGGUGGGGGGCGCUGCGCCUGGGGGGUCCCCGCGGGGCCCGGCGUCCGAGCCGGUGGCGCUCGGCGGGGACUUCCGCGGAGCCGGCGGGGGAGGGGGGCGCGGGAGCAGCGCGCGGCUGUCUGGUCAAUUUCACCUGGGCGCCCGGGGUCAGGGCCCUGGCCUGAGGACACGUCGCAGCAGGCUCCAGAGGACGCGGGUUCACCCCAGCGCCCAAGGGGGGACCUCCCCGCCCUCCGCUGGCUCACGUAGUCCGGGGUUUCGGGACGUCAAGUGCUGGCGAGGCGGCCGCUCCGGGCCGCGGCGGGGCUGGGUGAUAAACAAUCUCACAGGAUACACGACACCCUGGACUGUCACAAAUCCCUCGCAGGAAAAGAUAAAUAACAUCUGAGGAGCCGCGGCUCGGCUUCCCCGGGCUGAGCAGAGACCCUGUGAGAAGAGCCAGCGCGACCCAACUCCAGUCAGCCGGUGCCUCAGAGAGGAGUUCUUUCUCAGAACGUAGACACUGAAGCAUACCGCACAGGAUGGUCAUUCAGUGACGAGCAGAAUCGCCAGGACGCCACGUGUUCUCUGUCCCCAUCCCCCUCCCUGAGCAGACAUAGGUUCCCUCGCCUAGGAGCCAGUCACUGCGGGGAACCCAGGGAUCCUCACUCCUUGCAGCGUCCACAGCCUCAUGAGGUUCACGGCUGCGAACCAAACUUUACAUUACGACAAGGUGAAACGCAAAGAGACGCAUCAAAACGCAACCUUGGUUGGGAGUAAGAAACACAGCGGUGGUCUUGACCUUGGAAAACACGGAAGUCUCUGUUCCUAUCCUUUCUACCUUAGCUGGGCACCUUUCACACCAAGACCACAGCAGAUUGCCCCCAAGAGGAGUGAGACAUCUCAUGCUCGAUAUGGUUCAAGUGGGAACUUAAUCUAGGCUCAUGUAUGAUCUCCAACCAGUAGUGAUUUGGCAAGAUCCCAGGAGGAAAAGAAAUUUGUGUUCUAAGUUACAGCUAAUUGUUCCCGUAUUAUUUUGCACUUCCCUAUUACCUGAGCCGUAAGCAUGCUUGAGGCAAGAUACAGCAUGAGUUAAAGUGAGCGUUAAAAAAAAGAAGCAAAUUUGUUCCAUUUGCAAGGAAGGUGAAGGGCAUGGGUUGACAAAGAGAAGGGAGUAUUCAGCUGGCGAGCGACUCUCUAAUUCUAAGAAUGUUACAGAAAACCCUGGUAAUACCACUACCUGCGAGCUUAACCCUUCACUUUGCUUAACCCACAGCCGAUGGAGCCUUGUGGAAAGUCAAAAGGUAAUAAACAAUUUGCCGUUCGAGGCAAACUUAUAAAUUCCCAGGAUAAAGAUCUGAGAAUGUUAAAUCUUUGGGAAAUACACAGGAAGAGUGAGGCAAAAUGCCACCCACCCCCUCCUAAUAGCUUUUAAAUAAGAUUCAGGAAGAGGUUUCAAAGUGAAGUGUUCAAAACAUCUGCUUCUUAUUUGAAAUAUAAUUAGAAGUGUAUCUUAAUAUAUAAGGAAUUUUAAGAGCUGAGAGGAAGAACGUUUCUGGGUGACUAAGUGUUUUGGAUGAUGUCACAGUCAUGGCAUGAAGAGCAAUACCAAAGACUCUUUAGCAAGAUUUUGAGGAAUUGUUUUCCUUAGUUGGUUUAUUAUCUUUGCGAGAAGUCAUUUACAAAUCAAAUCAGAAGAAAGAGAAGGCGACUUUAUCGAACACGAUGAGGGAUCGAGGGAUUCCUGCCCCUGAAUGUUACAAAGAGACACCAAAUGUUCUGUUACUUCUUUCCAUUCCCGGCCCUUCUCCACUCCUAUUUGUUUUUAUUUGGUCCGUUUUCCACCCUGAGAGUCAUAAAGAAAAAGGAACGUGCAUUUGAUUAGAGAACUAAAAAAAGGAAACAAAUGGCCACCGUCUGGCUCCCUGUUGCACAUCACUUACCUGUCUCCCCUUGGCCAAAUUUUUAUGUCCUCACAUCCAGACCUAUUACAUUAGAACCCCUGGGGGGGUCAGACCCAGGCAUGGAGGGGGGGGUUUGUUGUUGUUUUGUUUUGGUUUUUGGUUUUUAAGCUCCCCAGGUGAUGCUAAUAUGCAGCCCAGCCUGAGAACCACUGUCAUGGAUGAUAUGACCUCACGAGGGAGAGACUCCCCCGGGGGUCUCCACGCCAUAAGCAAGUCGUUCCCAGGCUUUUGUAUUCACAGAGCAGCAACAUUUCAAAAAGCACUUGGGAGAGCCAUAUAUCCUUUUUGUCAACAUAGUAAAAACAGCCAUUAUUUCAUGAAAUGAAGGACAUUUUAAUAUCGGGAGAACAGAAGGACGUAAUCAGAGAGUAUUAAAAAUCUGAUUACAUGUACAUAUGCACAUACCUACGUAUACAUACAUAUUUCAUCGUCUUUCUUUUUGCCCUUUGGCGAAGGAAAGUUCUUCUUGGACUGCCUGGCUCUGGGAAUGACUUGGAUCCUAUCCGCAGUGUUCCUUCCAAGAAGCUGACACUAAUCGAGCACUUACUACAUGCCAAGCACUUGUCUCGUUACUUUACAUAUAUGAACUCGCUUCAUUCCCACAACCCUAAAACGUGGGCGGUGCUUAUUAUGUUCAUUUCUCAGGUGAAGAAACAGAUCACAGGGGGUUGAGCAAUUCGCCUCAGGUCACGCAGUGAGUGAUGGAGCCUGAGUUUGAACCCAGGCAAUCUGAUUUCAGAAUCCUGCGUUCCUAACCCGUUCACCGUGCACGUAGUCGGGUGUUCAUGUAUUACAUUAUUCCGCAAGCAGUUCUUAAGCAGCUACUAUGUGCUAGGUGCUGCGAUGAACCCCAGGGGGUGUAAAACCUGGGCCCUUGAUGCCUGGGUGAUAUGGAGACGUAUCUCUCCCACCUCCCAUGUUUCCCAGGAAGAGAAUGAAGGAGGAGUACAUUCAGCUUCUCUCUGUCCCCCUACCCACUAUGAGCAGAUGGCUGGCGCUUUGGAAGAAGCAACCUGGUGGGCCAAGCCUGGUUUUUCUCCUCGGGAGGGGGUCGUUUGUAGUGGUGCCGAUGACCGUGGGGGAAGUCUGGCCAGUUCACCGCCGUCCUGGAAGCCGUACCGGCCACUCAGUUACUGAGGGGCCUGGCCCCAAGCCGCGUAUCCGCCGUAACUGGGCUUAUCAUCACUGGCAACAACCGCCGGGAAUGAGAAAAGACUGGUCUCCCUGUGAAUCUACACUGAAAACACAUGAGUUGGGAAAAGCUGGGCAUCUCUCCCGACAUUCCCACAUCCUCAACAGUUGCCAAAGGCCAAGGGUCUUGUACGUAGCAUACAGGUGCCCACAGAGGUAGGCUAGGGAGCCCAAAGCAGGGGUUCCCAGCACAGACUGUGGGAUAAGGUAUACGAAAUGCAGUUCUGGAGGCCCACAGGCAAUUUAGACCUUGAGGGGUAGGGAGGGGGUGGUAGGAUGCUCCAGGCAGGGGUGAAGGAAAAUGCCGAGGCGGGAAAGGACAUGGCAUGCCGUUUAGGAUGACCCGAGCACAAAGCCUCUGCCGCGGACCCGGUAGGAAGUGAGGACGGAGGGAGAGGCAGGGAUAGAAUUGGGAAAGGCCUUGAAUGCCCGGCCAAGGCCUUUUGGAUUUCAUCCUGAAGGCAAUGAGGAGUGCCCGAAGGAUUUUAAGUGGGGAGUGAGUGGCAUGAUUUUACGUUUUGGCGAGAUUGCUCUAGAACAGUAUGGAGAACUGCGGACGGGAUUGGCUUACCGGGAGGCUAGGACAGUGGCCAGGCGAAAGAUGAUGAGGUCCAGAGCCAAGGGUUUGGCUGUGUGGGCGAAGAGGAGGAGAGAGAUUAAAGGGAUGUCCGUGGAUCACAGCGACUUAUCAGCUUCGGGGAUCAGGGGAAAAGGGGGAGGGCUGAGUUCUGGCUCAAUGACUGGGCCUAUGUCGGUGCUGUUCCCGAUAGGGAUUAUAAGGACAGCGGGAAGGGAUCGUUUUGAGGGGAGCUUUUGUCAUGCUGUGGUUGGCCCCUCCCGUGGUUCACUGAAAGGGACCCCAGUAUCGCAAGCCUGGCACUCUCCUGCAAUUGCCAGCGACACCCAUGAGACCGCAGCAGCCGUCCAGUGGUACGGGCUGGGAUCCGUUUCGUUUCUUUCCCUCGCUCUGGGCACUGGCAGAGCAUCAGCUGAGCGUCCAAGGUGUGGUUCUGGCUCCCUUUCCCCUGGGAAUCACCAAGUGCCUCCUAUUCUCCCUCCCCGCCAGUCACUCCCACCACACUCCCCAGCAACUGGUUCCACCAGUUUUUCUCAGCAUUCUUCUCUUUCCUCCGCUCCUCCAGCCGAAAGCUAUCCCGAUGGAAUCACCUACCCUCCAGGCAAACACGUUCUUCCCCUUCCUCGGGCAAGACACCCCAUCCUAGCCAAGAAGCCACUACCCCGUUAUCUUAACUCACGCUCCCAGCUGGUCUGUCUGUUUUGUGCGGAGCCCAUCUGGGGUCAGCUCUGCCUGGGGCUGGUGGAUUUAGCUUAAAUAUUCCAGCGCAUCUGUUUUUUUCUGAGGUCUGCCCUGACAGAAGGCACACUCUGGUCUUUUAGCAGGAAUUUAAGGUGAUUGGGACCAUCUUGGGGUCAGCAGAAGAAGGGCUUGGGGCCACCCCGCCACGGAGCUAGAGCAACUCCAAGAAUCUCCUCAGUGCCCCCUGCUCGGACUCUAGUAUUUACCAAGAAGGACUCUUCAGGGGGCGCCUGGGUAGCUCUGUGGCUUAAGUAUCUGACUCUUGGUAUCAGCUCAGGUCAUAAUCUUACAGUUCGUGGGAUUGAGCCCCGCGUCGGGCUCUACGCUGACAACACGG